rnacentral:lncRNA from 1 species
CAUUCAAACAACCUUUUGUUUCUCAAAGCCCCUGCAACUGUCGCAAUGGCUAUCGGCAGUCCUGCACAUUUUUUGGCUACCUUCAUAGCUAUAGGCUUCAAAUCGCAACUUUCAUCACAGUUGCCAGCCAUCUUCUUGAACAGGUCCCAGGCUUCCUUUUCCUUUAAAAACCCAAUGGGAAAAUUUUCCUGAGCAUCCAUCUCAUUUGAUAAAACAUUGAGCUCUCUAGAAGUUAAUAGUAAUUUGCAGCCCUUGUGUUCAUCUCCCAAAGGAAUCCCUACUUCCUCAAUAUCAACUUUUCCCCAAAUGUCAUCCAAGACAACCAGAACCCUCUCCUCUUUCUUCAAUCUUUGUCUUAGUCGAAUUGCCUUUCCAACCAUACUCUGUUCCUCAAAUUUCAAGCCCAAGAAGUCUGCAAUUUCGUUCUGAAUCCUCUUAAUAUCGAUGGCUUGAGUUACAGUUACUAUGACAACCGAAUCAAACAACUUGCCCUUGACCUUUCUAGCGAUUUCUUUGACCAGCGUUGUUUUUCCAAUCCCACCCGUACCAUGCACCCCAACAAUGCUAAUGCUAUCAUCUUUUAGUGCCCCCAUUAUUCGGUUCAAAAUCGACGUUCUUGACUCGAAUUCCUCAUAACCUUUAACUUGUGCAACCACGAUACCUUGCAGAGUUGCACGAUAGGAAACCCUUUCAAACUCGCCAUGUUCAAGUAGCUCGGCAACAGCCUUUGCCUCCUCUUCAGCUUUGAGGCUAAGCUUGUAACGAGUCCUGAAAUUAGGACACAAACCAAUGAAACACUUUUUCUUUGCUCUUUCUUCAUCUUGCAUCACUUUCUCUACUUGUUCAAGGAUCAUUUUGUCGACUGCAGACAGCCAUUCGCCAACAUCACCUUCGAUCUCUUCACCGUUUCGUUUAGCUGCAUCAACAGAGUACUGCACUCUGUCCCUUGCACCUUUCAGCCUCUCAGCUCGGUCCUUGAGGGUCUCAACAUAUUGCUGAUGAUUGGAAAGGUAUUUGACAUGGUUUUUGAUAGGAGAGAUCGUAUACUCUACAGCUUUAGCGACAAUAGAGCCAACGAUGGCAAUAACAAUCUCCAUUGAGAGAGCAAACUGAAUAACCACAGCGACAGCAAAGACCAAAACUUGAAUUAUCUUAUAUAGUUUUUAAAAAGAACUCAUUUGCAUAAUCUUAAAAAUAUAAAUAUGAGAUUAAUGUUUUACUUUAUGACAAUUAAAGUAAAGUAAUUUUGUUAAUAGAUAAUCUUUUAUUAAUAUAGACAUAUAUCUAACUUUAUUUUUUUAAUAAUUAUCUUUUUUUGAAGGAAAUUUUUUUUUAUUUUUUUUGCUAAGCAUUGAAGGAAUAAUUUGUCUUUUACACUUUGAAUAAAUUUUACAACACAUCUUUUAAAAAAUAGUUUUCUAAUUAUUAUUUAAAUUAUUUUCAACUAAUUCAUAAUUCUACCAAUUUCUUAUAUUUUGAUUUAACAAGUGAUUGUUUGGUGUAAUGUUUUAUUUAUUUAUUUAUUCUACAAGCAAUAUUAAAAUAUUUAAUUUUUUAAAAUAUUUUACUAUACUUCUAAAAAGACAUUUAUCAACCUCUUGACUUUACUUGUGGAAUUUAAAAACUUCAAUAAUAAAUUAUGAGAAAUCAUUUAGUACACUGCUAAUGGAGUUUUUAGACUCCACUAGCAGGACCAAGGGGGAUUGACAAGUAUUUUAUAAGGGUAUAAUAAAAUAUUUAAAUGAUUGAGAGACAUGUUAAUUUUUUAAGGUUACUUGUAGAAUAAAAAAAAGUAUUAAAUCCUCACCCUAUUUAUAUUCAUAUUUUUAAUUUAAUUUUUAAUCUUAAUUCAUAUUUUAAAUAUUAUGUUAUAACAAAAUGAAAAUUUAUUAAUAUUAAGGGGAAUGAUCUACUUACACAAUGUAAAAAUUAAAGUAAUUUUACACACUUCCGUAACUAUUUAUAUGAUUAAUAUUUUAAUGAUACAAUCAUUAUAUUUUAGGUAAUAAUAUAAACCCAAAAAAUUAGCUUCGAAAAAAAUAAAAUUCACGUUUUAAACGGGCUGAGCUUCAGACAAGAUUUUUUUAGUUUGGACCUAACCUGAAUUUAACUUUUUUUUUGCUGCUGUUUACUGCUUUUACGUUGUUGUUUUUUGCUGUUAUGUUGUUAUUUUGCUACUAUUAUUUAGAUAUUGUAUAACUCUUAUUUUAUUUUUAUUUUUGCUAUUAUUUUAGAAACAUUUGUUUGCUAAGCUGCAACUAUGUUAGUUUUAUUUAAGUAUAAAGAAUUUUUUUAAAUAUAUUUUCAAUUUGUUGAGAAACAUUUAUUUUAAUAUUUUUAGAGUAUUUGAUAUAUUAUAUUUUUUAAAUUUAUUUUUAUAUAAAAAAUAAUCUAAAAAAUUUAAUACAGACGGGUUCAGAUUUAGUGUUUUUUAUCUGGGUUGAACUUAAAUAAAAUUUUAGCGCAUUUUUUAGUUGAGCCGAGUCCGGACCCGAAAAACAAAUCUAAAAACCCAACCUAUGAUUAGAUCUACUACAAAUCCUCCUUCUACAAGAUAAAGCAGUACUCAACCUCUUAAUAACCAUAUUGCAGUAUGUGGAAGCCACAAUUUGUUGAUAGAUCACAAACAAAAGGGCUUAUGCAGCUUUCCUAAUAGUCACCCCUUCUUAUCCCUUUUUUCCACGAACUUUAAAGAGUGUUUUCCACAAUUUUUUUAAUGGAUUUUAGUGGAAAUAUGUUUUCUUUUUAAUUCUGAAUUUUUAUGUAAUUUUAUAAAGUAAAGAUCAAAUUAAGGCUAAAAAAUUUUCUUUGGUCUUUUUAUAUAUGUCAGGUCAACAACACUAAGGGUAAAUUUGAAUGGAAAGAUGAAGAUUUUAAAUCGAAAAAGUACAGGACUCAAAAUCCUAAAGCUAAAAUAGAAGGGCUAAAUAGAUUUAAAGCAUAAAAGAAGUCCAUUUUCAUGGUUAAAACUGCCUGCCUAAGCUUAUUUAUACCGACAAGUAUUUCAGAAGAGUAAGAGCAAAGCAGGGAAAAGAAAAGCAGAUGGUGUACCUUUUGGCUAUGAUCAAUAACUUAUAAUUUUGUCUUUUUUUCUUUUUCUUAACAGAGCAAACCCAGAAAGUAGUGAUUUGAGAAAGAUGACUUCAUCUUACUUUAAAUGAAAGGAAGUCUCGUGGAAACAGCUCAGAAAUGACUAGCCAACAGCCCUAAAAUGUCUUAUACCAAAACAUAUUUUAAUGGGAAAAUAUUCUAUAUACUCUCACUCUAAAUUCCAAAUCUGAUUAUUCAAUACUCACAACUUUGGCUUUUACCAACUAAACAUAUAGUCCUUGAGGGUCUUAACAUAUUGCUGAUGAUUGGAAAGGUAUUUGACAUGGUUUUUGAUAGGAGAGAUCGUAUACUUUACAGCUUUAGUGACAAUAGAGCCAACUAGGGUAGUAACAAACUCCAUUGAGAGAUCAGACAAGAAGUAAACUGAAUAACCACAGCGACAACAAAGACCAAAACAAAAUCAGAAGAAAAAGUUACAAAUAAAAUGAGCAAAAAGUAAAGCUUCUGUAAACCAAGAAGUAAGACCAAAUCAACCAAAAUGAAAGCAGAUGGCGUACCUUUCCAACGUAUAAGAGAAGGAUUCAGCGAUUAGUUGUCGCAGUUACGAACGAGCGAAAAGAUAAUAUUCUUAACAGAGUAAUGCGAGAAGUAAUUUGACAAAGGGCAACUCAAUCUAAACAAAAUUUGAAAUGUAAACAAUAGAAUCCUAAAGAAACACAAAUACUUGAGAGUUUAGCUUUAUGGAUUCUUAUCAUUUGGUGGCUACAGCUGAAAAGUUGACAAAAGAAAGCAACACUCUAUCGCCAAUUAUUUUCCCUUUUGGUAAAGGUCACAAAAGAAAGGAACACACUAUCGCCAAUUAUUGUGUUUGAUGUCAGCUUUUCAUGGUGUUGGAAAAAUAUUAACCAUUUGAUAAAAAGCAAUUAAUCUAAAUCAUUCAGAAAAAAAAAUACAAUUUACUAAACUAAAAUUACUUAAUUUGUCUGUCUAGAUUUUAUCUUUUAUAAAAUGGUAGUUAUAGGGAAGUAAUCGUAAAUUUUCAUCAAAUAAAAAAAAAGUGAGAAUGUUAAAAGAGUUAUAAUAUUACUUAAAGAUUUAAACAAUACGAUGUUAAAGAGAAAUAGUUUAAUAAAGAAUGUAGAUUAUAAGUAUGGAUAUUGUUAUUAUAAGUGAAAAGUUGUUAUAAAUGAUUAAAAUAAAAUAUUAAUAUCGAUUUUAGUAAAAAUUUAAUAAUUACAACGAAAUGGUGUCAUAGUGGGUGAUUAUUAUAAAAGACUGUAUUCCCAUAUCUAUAUUUUAAUAUGUAUUUAAUAAUUAAUAUUUCAAGGAAAAUUAAUCAUCUUUAUAUCAAACGUAGUGUAUUUAUCCUUUGCUUCUCAUGAUAGUUAAAGGCUUGUCGGGAACUGCAUCGACAGAAGCAAGAAAAGUAGCAAAAGUGAUAAAGGAUGAGGAGGAUGAACGCGAAAGCGGAUCGUAAAGUUUGUCAAAAUUACGGAUUUGACUUAGGGUUGUAAACGUUCGGAAAGAAAUUGGAUUUUGACACAAUCUGAAACGAAAUUGAAUCCAAGUCAGAUGAAACAAUUAAAAUAAAUAACUAAAAUAAAAUAAUAAAUUAAAGAUUAAGGAAGUAAAUAAAGAAGAUAAAUGAAAAGAUAGAACGUGGCGUGUAGAAAUCCUAAUAAGCCUUGGAAACACGAAGAAUUCACAACCCCUUUCAAGCGGCUCUAAUUUUCCGUUUGAAGAUGAUCCCCACAAUCUAAAAUAAUUGUUAAAACUCUUCUAAAAGAAACUCAAGAGAAAUUCUUGAAAAAAAAAACCCAAAGAAAAUUUAUUAAUGCAAAAGAGAAAUAGAAUAAUAAUGAAUUUAAUGAAUUGUGUACAAUGCAAAGGCCUACAUACAGGCUAGCUAAAUAAAUCUAAGUAAAACUUUUAAAUAUACUAGAACUCUAAUUUAAUCUAAAUAAGAAGCAGUUUUAAAUUGAAUUUUCUUGUUAAUAUAAAACUCUUAAAUAACUUAAAAUACUUAAUAAUAAUUAAGUCUAAAACCUGAACCCAAUAUGCUUUAAACAUGAAUUAAAAGCCCAAAAUUUGUAAUUCUCGUCAUAAUCCCGUUUAGAAAUUCUACUUGCGCAGUCUUCACUAAAACGGUCAUAACUUGAGCUCCCGAACUCAAAAUCGAGUGAUUCAAAAUGUGUUUCGAAGCUAAGAGAUAGAUCUUCAAAUGCCAUGAGACAUCUCAACCCAAAAAUGUCAGGAUUCCAUUCAAAAAGUUAUUGCAAAUCUGCUAAUUUCCCAAGCCUAAAAACUGGCAGUUUUGAUGAUUGGAAUCUAAUAAAUUUCACUCCAUUCAUGCAUGUAUCAAAAAGACAUUGAUAUUGGGAGAAAUUUAUUACUUUAAUCUUUUAAUUUUUAUAUUUUAAUAUUUUUUUGAAACAAAAAAAAUUGAAUUUUUGAAACUAAAAGAAUUUCUUUAUCAAUUAACUUUUUAUUCAAAAUAACAUAAUUUAAUUGAAUUUUGAAAAUUACGGACCGAAUCCAAGAGCUGACAGGAGCCCGGCCCUCUUAAAAUAAAAAAAUUGUUACUUGAACUCAUUAAUAAAAAAAUUACACUUUAACUCAUCUAAAUUAUGAAAAUUUAAUUCUAUCCGUUUAAAGAUUUAAAUUCUUUUAAAGCAAUAAUGAUGCACAUUCCUACCACUUCCUACGGUUCGCAUUAAUUUCCUUUUAGAUAUAGUGAGACCUAAAGUAAAGGAUGCACUUUGCCAUCACUUUCUAAAAAGCCUUCAAUUGAUUGGGUGUUUCUUUUUAGAAAGAAAGAACUUUUUAAUAAUAUUUUAAGAAUUAAAAAAUGUAAACUUAAAAUUAAUAGUACAAGUGAUACAUUAUAUUUGCAAGCUAUUCGAAUUGGAUUCAAAAAAUCUUAAAAUUUUAUCAAAAAUUAUUGUGUAGAGCUUGAGGUAUUGAUCAAACUGAAUUUAAAUAUUGUAAUAGUUGAUUCAAGUAGCCCACAAACCUAAUUAAACAUUCCAUUUAAAUAUAUUUUUAUUUAUGAAAUUACAUUUUUAUCCUUGAUAUAUAGAAAGAGCUUAAUUAUAAAUGAGUUUGAUUAUAAAAAUUGAUAAACGAGCUAAAUCAGCUCAAUUAUGUUUUGAAUCAAGAUUGAGCUUAAAAAGUGAUGUUCAAGUCAAGUUCAAGCUUGUCAUUAUUCGAGCUCUGCUUGACUCGAUUGUACCUUUAAAAUAGAUGUAUAAAAUGUUGAAAAAUUGUAAUUUUUGGAAACUUUGAAGCAUAUUCUCAAUUGAUAAAAGUGGAGAAUUGAAUCAUAAAAUUAUGAUUUUAUAUUCUACUCCAUGAUAUCUUUACAACAGUAUAUCGUAUGCUCAAAAUGGAUGGUUGAGUGAUGAGUGAGAAAUUAAUGCUCAAAGUAAGUUACUUGUGAAUAUUUGUUAAGGAAAAGAAAAGGUUAGAUCUCACAUUGAUUAAAUACCAAGUGUGAGAUGUGUUUAUAUAUGAGAACCCACUUGAAGGAUGAUUGAAUGACUAAGUUCGAAACUUUGUCUCACGCGCAGGGAGUGUAGAUCCAAACCCAUCGGGGUUGGAGCGCACUCGCACGACGUGGGCGAUGUGAAAUGUCUAGACCGGUUUGUUGGGCCUAUGGAUAUUUUAAGCCCAACACAAAAUUUAUUUUUCUCAGUAAAUAUAUAUAAAAUCUAAUUUAAAAAAAACAUAUAUUAUGAUUUAAUUGCUCAUUUAAUACAGAUUUUGUAUAUUUAAUUAUGGAUAUUUCCAAAAUUCUUCCAUCUUGAAUGCUUAAGAAUUCUUCAAAAUUUUUUACACUGAAAAACUCUCUAAAACCAAGUUUAUUUUGCUCUAAAAAAUUAUUCUCUUUUUCUCUCUAUAUUUUCCAAUGUUCCGAUGAUAGAAAAAGGCAAGAAUUGUUCAUUGGUCUCUGUAGAGGUGCUACUAUUUCGGUUAUCAUGUUGUUGUAUCAUGGGAGACAGUCGACUAACGUUUCUUCAAGUACUGUAAGAGCGGACAAAUCUGUCUUAAGGAAACUGUGUAAAACAAGCCUCAACAUCUAGUUAAAUUCCAUUCUUUAUUCGAUUUUUGGUUUUCUAAUAUUAUUUAUUAGUUUUGAAAAAGAACUGAAAUGUUUUUUUAAAAAAAAAUUAAAAUACUAACUAAAAUGUUAAAUUUUUAAACACGACAACUUAUAUAGCAAUUCACGUGUAUUCUAUGUUAAUUUUUUAAAUUUUUAUAUUCUUAAAAUAUUAAUUUUGAUGUAUCUUUAUUUCUAUAAUUUAGAAAACAAUCUUAUUAUUAUUUUUAAAUUUACUCCUCAAACAAUUAACUUGAGAAAAUUUUUAUUUUAACUGGAAAUGGAACAUUUAUCUCGAAUUAUCAUUAACCAGGAUGAAGAAAAUGAUGGAUGCCUUGAUUGUAAAUUACAAGCUUAACUUUUAAGCAAUAAUUGAUGCACGUUCCCACCACUUGCGGGAAAACAACAACCAAGAUAAAAUUUUUGGAUUCGCUCGUAAAGAGAAAAAGAAUAAAGUUGUUUCUGUCUAAGCCCUUAUCCUAUGAUCCUACUUUAUCCUGUUGAAAUUGGAUCAAUUAAUAAUUAUGUCUGUUUGUAAAGGCUUCCUUAGAAUCAAUGAAUUAAGUCAAUAAAUUAAAACAACUCCCUCGUUAAAGACCCUUUGGGUUUUCUCAUCGAUACUCGUAAGUUCUUCAAAUUUAAAUUAUGAUACAAAUGAGAUUAGAAGAAUAAUUCGAAUAUUUUAUCACCAUAGGUCAUGUUCAUUUUAGAAGACGACAUAGAAUUAAAUAUUAUUUCGAUUUUUACGAUCCUUUAUAAUAUCGUAUACUCUUUCCAAAUGUAUAUUUAGAUUUGAACAAUUAAUUUUAAAAAUAUUUGAGGGCAUAUGAAUAGUAAUAUAGUAUAGAUUAAUUAUAUAUGCUCCCUCUUGAGUCUUGAAUUCUCGACAAUGAUAUUUCCUGUUAUUAACAAUGUCAUUAAUCCUACUAAUUGUUUUCUCUCAUUUUCUUUUGGGCAUACAGAGAUUGAAUGGAACAACAACCAGGAUGCGAAGACUGACUUUGUUCAUUCGGAAAUUUCUUCUACUUGUAUAUGUAAAGUUUUCUUCAAUCUGUGUGAGCUUAUGUAAUGCUAGUGUUAAACAUAAUUGGAUAUGAUUUUUCUCUCCAUCUCAAUCGCUGUUAUCCAAAUUCAUGUGACAGUAAAUACAAAUGUAUGCUAUAAACAGGAAAACUUUGAAUACCAUGAAAUCCUAUACUAUAUCAACUUAGAUGUUUAAUCACACCAAUGGAUGAGAAAACGUUAAGCAGAGAUGCAUAUAUAUCAAACCAAAAGACAUUUGCAAAUUUGGUUCCUCGUGGUUAGCCCAUUUUUUUAGCCACGGUCUGAAGUUCUAUAGACCUCAAACUUGGACCUUGAUCUAAGUAGCAAACAUGAAUUUUUUUUUUUUCCUUUUCAGCUUGUAACCCACAUUGAUAUCAAACCAAGCAAUCAUUUCUUCACAAAAACAAUAAGAAAACAAAAUUAAAAACAAAAUUAGCUAUAUUUACAUAUUAUAUUUUCAUUUCAUUACCCUCUAAAUGCCCUGGUUGGGAAGUUUAUCAGAUGAACUUCAUCUUGCAUUGCAGCUGAGAUUUUAAACAAAAUGGCUUCCCUUGCAACAAAAACUCUCUUCAUACUGUUCUCCACCCUCUUUUCAGCUUUCUUCAUUUAAAUUAAUGAAGAGUUCUCGAGGCAAUCCAUUAUUACAUUAACAAAACGCAUGGGGAUAAUUAAUCACCCGACCGCAAUUCUACUUUCAUGACAUUGUAGAUCGAAAACACCCUACAGCCAUGCAAAUUAUCAGGCUACCAAACAGGACAGCUACGUCACUUGGUACCACUUACCUGGUAGAUGAUCCAUUGAUAGAGAAACCUGAGCCUACUUCAGAACUUGUGGGAAGAGCUCAAGGGAUCUACGCUUUCGCUUCUCAACGUGAAUAUGGGUUGCUUUGGCAAUGCCGAUUGUCGGAGGUGGCAAAAUUUUCCCAUUUUCUCGUAGUUAUGCUUUGGCAAAGACAGUUUGGUUUAAUAAGAAUGGAGAUGCCAUAGUUGAAUAUGACGUGACAGUUGUUCACUACAGAACAAUUGAUGCAUGCAUGCAUGCGAUAUAAUUCAAUUUAGGUACGGCAUUGGUUUGUUUUAUUCUAGCUUUGGAUUGUUUCUCCUAUUGACUAGAAGAGAAAUGGGAUUUUAUCAUUUAUAUUUUUGUCAGGAUGAAUAUGAGAAACUUGGGAAUGGAGUUAUUAGAUUCAACUUUUCAUCAAAAAGCUGAGAUUGCACAGAAAUAAGUACAGAAUAAUCUUUACAGAGAACAAGAAAGAUGAAACAAGCACAAACACAAUAUGUAUAGCAAUCUUAAUCACAUCGUCUAAACCCCAAGCUGACAUUGAUAAGGUAACCAUCAAAAGUUGGCAAAUCCAUCCACCUUUAAGAAGAAUUGGAAUAUUAAAACAGGGGUCAACCUUACUAGUAGAAGUUUACAUGUUUGUAGUUCCCAAUGCCAUGCAUGAUGCACUUGAAAUUCAAUAUUGAGGUUAUAAUGUGAAAUGGAACAGUCGCAGCCACGUGCUUCAGUAGAGCAACUCAACCUACAAUGAAAAGGACGUCUCUAUGGUCACUUUAUAAAGCAUUGGUUAAGCUAUGAUGAAAAUAGAGGAGUCAAUUACCAUUUGUUUUGAAUUGAAACGAAACUGACCUUGUCUCAUAAGCACCCAAACAUAUUUCCUUAUUCUAGCUUGGGCAACUGAUGAGAAACCUCCGUCACCUGAGAAGUUUGCACAUUCUGUGCAUGAUCAAAAGAAACCAAGAAUUGUUCAAUUAACUAUGUAUGCAAAUGCACCAAAUAAUAUUUUACAUAUUGUUACGUUAGUAAAAACACAAGAAUUUAAAUCCUUUGAAUGAUUAGUACCAUUUCAUCGAACAUAUGUUUUAUAGUAGUGUUAAGGCCGCCUUCCCACUGCAGUUCACCUUUCUCAUCUCUUGUUAAGUGCAUUUGUUCCAGCCUUGGUGUGCUUAAAUCUCCUUGGCAGAAAUUCCUCAUUUUGGGACACUUUGUCACCUUCACCAUUUGUAAGACUGGGAAUUCCAACGAGUGAUGAGCCAAGGAAAAGCUUGCUAGACAUGGCAGACAACUUAGUUGCAAAUACUUCAGUUCGGGAAAUACAAUGCCGGCUUGUAUUUCUUCAGCCUCACACGCUAUGAUUUCCUCUAUCAUCUCACAAUCAUCUAUGCUCAAUCUUUCCAGUAGCGUCAGGCACUUAGCUGUUGAGCAUGCGAUUAAAUUGAUGAACCCAUGGCAUCUCGAAACUUCCAGUGUUGUUAGAUUUUUGAAAGACAGCAAAGAUAGUUUAAAAGUCUUUAACGACAACUCUGGAAGUUGAGACAACCUUAAGUCCUUUAACUGAUAGAAUACCGAUGUGUGCCUUUCCUCUUCGAUAAGUCCUUCAGACCGGACUAUUUCAGAAAUGGAAGCAUUGUUUAUAACAAGCUUCUGAAGCUUUGGUAGCGACCGAAUGAAGCAAUAUGGAAGUGUAGUUGACCUCUUACGAAAGCAAUGAAGGUUAAGAGCAUUAAGAUUUUUGAAACACUGCAAUGAGAGCUGUCCAUCACAUAUCCUCUUCACCAUAUCAUUCGUCUUCAGUGUUAGUUCUUCUAAUACAGGGAAAGUGUCCUGGAUGGCAAUGAAUAUAUUGGACAUCGAUGAAAGAGUUUUAAAUUGGUAAGAACUAGACUCUCAUAAAAUUAAAAGAGGAGAGAAUAUUAGCUUUUUCAAAAAGCAUUUUAUAGGUAAUCUCAAGUAGUGAUCAUGGAAUAUGAAACUGUUCGUGAGCUCACCUCAUUGACGCAAAACAAGGGUUGUUGGUUUGAGAUUCCAACCUGACUCACAGGACAUUGUGGAGUAAAUAUCUGUACUUUGAGGCAUUCAAUAAUGUCCAUUUGUUUCAAUGAAGGCCACUGGGUGGUAUGCAUCCUAGAGUAGAAACUUUUCAAUCGUGGCACCUUACACAAUCUAAGGUAUAUUAGUUCGGGAAAUACAAACUUGGUCGUCACUGUUUCAGCCACAAUAGAUUGAGCAGCUGAUGUUGACUGUGACUCAUCAGCAAUGAGUCCUUGCAGCUCAAUAAUUUCUUCUAACAAAUCACAAUUUUGAAUCUGCAGCCUCUUCAAACUAGGGAAAACAACCUAAUAAAUCAUUUCAUUAGGUUAAUAACUGAAAUAUGUAUGAAAAAGAAAGAACUUCAAAUGAAUAAUAAGGUCAAUCGAAGUAACAUAAAUUAAAGGAGAAUCCGUGAAGAAAUGACCUUCUCAUUGAGGAGAGAUGAGUUAUGAAGCUCCAAGUUACUUGCUUGUUCAUGUUGGCCAAUUUCAGGCUCAUCUUCGGAUACACAUUUAGUGGUGAAUGUUUUUAGCAAUGGACAAUUUGUUAGUACUAAAUAUUCCAAACAGUGAAAUUCAAAGUAAUUUUCAAAAGACAAACUAGCGAGUUUGGGAAGGUGUUUUAGCCACAGCAAUUCUAGUUUAGAGAAAAACAUCUGAUUCCUCCCUUGAUGUUCCUCAACCAAUCCAUCCGUGAAUAUUACUUGUUCCAUCAUAUUACAGUCCAAAAUUCGAAGGAAUCGGAGUUGCACAAGAUCUUUUGCUAAGAAAGACGGGAGCAGGUAUUUCAAAUUGUGACACCUCUUCACCUUCAAGAAAUUUAGGUAUCCCAUAGAUGGGGAGGAUGAGUGGUGCCAUAUCUUAUGAAUGUUGAUGGAGGACAAAUCCAGACGCUCCAGACUAGGAAUGACAACCUGUUGACAUAAAUAUCAUUAUAAGAUAGUAUCACUCUUCCUUCUGUACUUUGAAAGACAAUCAAAAUGAGUAGAUGAGUAUGAAGAUUUAUAAACUGAUCCAAAGGUUAAUAUUCACACAUCAACUAGACAGUUAAAAGUAACCAAAAUUUUUUGGUUAAUUAUGAAAAUGAUCUAACUUAAAAAUCAUAUAGUAAAUGACCUGAUUUCUACAGUGCUUACUACACCGGCCCCCAUCAAUGAUUGCUUUUUAAAAAAAUUAUAGUGGUGCUGCUUAAUAAAUUGACGGCACCAGACUGAAUGUGACUAUAUAAAACGUGCUGGGAUCCUUUGAAGCGGUUAACAUUUUUAGAUUGGUUAAAAAAGGGGUGUCGUUCAUAUCUGAACCAAAUUAAAUGUUUUUCAACUUUUGACCUAUCUUCAUGUUACAUCUGUCCUCUUUUAAAAUUAGAUUUAAAUAGCACUUCUUAUUCAAAUUACCCAAAUAUAUUCCUCAAAAAAUUUCCUUAAGUUUAUCUAAAUUUAAAUAUAUUAGGGAAUGAGUUGAAAAUGCUUGAAUUUAGAUAAACUUGAGGAAAUUGUGUGAGGGGUAUAUUUGGGUAACUUAAAUAAGAAUUUUAUAAAAAAAUAAAAAAAAAUGAGAAUGGUUUAUUUUUGUUAUUCUUAUAUUACUUAAGUGUUAUUUAAAUUUAAUUUUAAAAGGGGAUAGACCUAAUAUGCAAAUAGACCAAAAGAUGAAGAGCAUUUAAUUUGGUGCCCCAUAUUCACAUGAAGACCCCUUUUUCCGCUAAUUAAAAAAGGGUAAUUACUUCGUCAAGCCUAUGAAAUUUUUUAAAUAAAAUACAAUCAUUAGUCAAUGAUGGUAGGUCGGUGCAGCCAUUGUGUCUGGCGGCACCGACAAACACUAUAGAAAUCGAAUAAUUUAUGUACAUAAUUUUUAAAUUGAGUCAUUUUCAUAAUUAAUCAAAAAUUUGAGUUACUUUUAUAAAAACCCGACAAGUAAAUUUAAAUAAUUAUAUUGAUCUUUUUUUUCUUUCAAUGAUUUUUUCUAUAUAUGAAAUUUUUUAAAAAAAAAGCAUUAAAUCUUUAAAUAAAACCCAUCCACUCUCUCACUUCAAUUCUUCUCCAUAUAUUUGGUUCUUUCUUCUUCAAACUCCUCACCUUUUGUUUUCUUGCUUCUUCUCCUUUGAUCUCAAAUGACCUUUGUGAAGGUCUUCCACAAUUAUCUCCUUCUUAAUUCUUAUACACCCACAAAUUAAAAUAAAGGAAAAUUAGUUAUCUUUCUAUUAUUAUUUUAUUAUUUAUUGUCUAUUAGUAUUUAAUUUAAAACUUCUAUUAAAUUCUUAUUGUUUAUUAGUAUUUAAUUUUAAGUUUUCCUUUCAAUUCUUAUUUUAUAUAUUUACGUUGAAGCUAGCCAACAUGCUGACAUGAAGCAAUAGAAACUGCCCGAGCCAUGCAUGUUGCAGCUGAAGAUGGUGCUGCUGUUUUAGCUUAGUUUUGUUACUUUGAUCAACAUUUUGCAACUUAGUUUGAUUUGAACCAAGUUGUCAUUGUACUUGAUGAAUUUUUGUCAAUGUUUGAGCUGGUAAAACAACUUUACUAUGUGUGCAAGUUAUGUUUUAUUAGUUCCAAGGUUACUUAGUGGUAGUAGGUGAUGUUUAGGUAAUCAAAUUAUUUUCCUUGACCAGCUCAUGUCUGGUAUCUGUAUUGGCAUUAUGUCAUUGUUUCAGUUAAUGAAAAUUCCUCUAAGAAUUUUUCAUUCAAUACUCUCUCAAUCUUAGUUUCAUUUGGUUCUUAAAUGUUUAAUUCAGUUAUUGUUUGUUCUGCAAGUCUCGAGCCUUAAAGCUCAAGAAAUUGUUUUGUUUCCUUUAACUUUGUUCAUUGUUCCAACAAUUGGUAUCUAGAGCCUAUUUCUUAGUGGACCUAUCAUUCUUCAAGUCCAAGAACCAUGUCUUCAUCUAGAUUCUCACCAGCUCUACCACCAGUGUUCAAUGGUGAAAGCUACCACAUUUAGGUAGUGAAACGAAUACCUCCCUGCAGGCAUUUGACUUGUGGGAAGUUGUUAACUCAGAUUUUGAACCAGCACCUCUGAAAGCCAAUCCUAUAAUGGCUCAGAUCAGGCAGCAUGCAAAUGAAUGAACUAAGAGACACAAGGCUAUGUCUUGCAUUCAAAACAGUGUGUCUAAUGUGAUUUUCACAAGAAUCAUAGUUUGUGAGUCACCAAAGUAGGCCUGGGAUAAGCUAAAGGAAGAGUUUCAAGGGACUGAAAGAAUAAGACAGCAACAACUACUAAAUUUGAGAAAGGACUUUGAAAAUUUGAAGAUGAAGGAGGAAGAAAUAGUGAAGCAGUAUUCAGACAAAAUCAUGGCUAUAGUGAACAACAUUAGAUUGCUUGAGGACCAGUUUAGUGAAGCAAGAAUUGUAGAGAAGGUUAUCUCAAUUUUACACGAGAGAUAUGAAGCCAAGGUCUCACCCCUUGAAGAUUCAAGAGAUCUGAUAAGUAUCUCUUUGACUGAGCUGAUCAAUGCUCUUUAUGCAUAAGAGCAAAGAAGGGUUAGAAGACAGGAGGAGCAUCAAGAAGGUACCUUUCAAGCCAAGAGCAAACCACUGUCUCAAGCUUCUCUGGCAAUAAAUGGACAAAAGUCUGGCUCGACAAGCCUAGAAGAGAUAGAGUAGGAAUGAGAUAUCCACUUUGCCCAUACUACAAAAGACUCAGUCAUCCAGCUGAAAAUUGUUGGUUUAGGCCUGAUGUGCAGUGCAAAGUCUGCAAAAAGAUGGGUCACUCUAAGAAAGUUUGUAGAAACAAAGGCAAGCUGAGACAAAGUCAACCUCAAUAGCCAAAAGCUGAAGCUUAAGUGGCAAAACAAGGCCGUGACCAGGAAAAGCAAGUCUUUGUAGUGUCUUGCUCAGCUGCCAAAGGAAAAGUCAUAAAAGCGUGGCUGAUAGACAGUGGUUGCACAAACCAUAUGACUUCUAAUGCUACAAUCUUCAAGAGCAUCGACAGAAGCUUCAAAACAAGGGUGAAGGUUGGAAAUAGACACUUCAUCAAGGCAGAAGGCAAAGGAGAUGUGCUGAUUAACACUCCAACAGGUAACAAACUUGCCUCAAAUGUCUUGUUUGUACCUAAAAUUGACAGAAACUUGCUAAGUAUAGCUCAGUUGUUAGAAAAGGGCUAUUCAAUUGUGUUCAAAGGCAAAUAAUGCCUGAUCAGUGAUCCAAGUGGAUCUAAGCUUAUGUUAGUAACUAUGGCUAAUAGAAGUUUUGUAGUAGACUGGAAUAAGAGCUCAGACAGUGCCUACAUAGUAGUACUAGAUGAAUCCAAGCUGUGGCACAAGAAGUUAGGCCAUGUCAACUACAACUCACUGGCUAAACUAACCAAAGAAGAUUUGGUUGAAAAUUUUACCAAUUCUGUUGAGAAGGAGGAUGUUUGUGAGGUAUGUCAAUUAGAAAAGCAGGUCAGACUGCCAUUUCCCUUGAACAAAGCCUAGAGAGCCUCACAAAAACUGCAGUUGGUUCAUCCUGAUGUGUGUGGCCCUAUGAAAACACCAUCCUUGAAUGGUAGCAAGUAUUUCAUUCUUUAUAUUGAUGAUUACUCGAGGUAUUGUUGGAUUUACUUCUUAAAACAAAAAUCAGAAGUGGCCUCAGUAUUUUAGAAGUUCAAGUUUGCAGCAGAAACAGAAACAGGUUGCAAGCUGAAGACAUUGAGGUCAGACAAUGGGAUAGAGUAUACCUCAGUAAUGUUUCAGAGUUUCUGUGAUGAAAAAGACAUCAAGCAUCAACUUACCAACACCUAUACACCACAACAGAAUGAUGUUAGUGAAAGAAAAAAUAGAAACCUGAUGGAUAUGGUUAGAUGUCUAUUGUUUAAGAAGAAUUUGCCAAAAACCUUAUGGGCUGAGGCAGUUAACACUAUUGUAUAUCUUCAAAAUAGACUGCCAACAGAAGCAUUGGCUCAUAAAACUCCAUUUGAAGCCUGGUUUCGGUUCAAACCAUUACUAGCUGAUCUGAGGGUCUUUGGCUUCAUAUGCUAUGCACAUGUCUUAGCUGUUAAGAGGGAUAAAUUAGCCAAGAAAGCACAACCAGGUAUCCUGGUAGGCUAUAGCAGUAUGAAGAAAGGCUACAGAAUCCUAAAUCCUUUAACUAAUGAAGUCUUUGUAAGUAGAGAUGUGCUUGAUGAGAAGAUAGGGUGGAAUUGGGAUAAAAAUGAUCUAGAAGCUGCUGCUGAAGAUCUGUUAACUGAUUAGACUGAAGCUGAUCAAAAUGGUCCUAAAAUGGAUAUUGACCACGAACCAAUCAGGCAAACCAGACCUUUGAGUGAAAUUUAUGAAAGAGCUGAAGUGGCUGCAGUUGAACCAAGUUGUUUUGAAGAAGCUGAAGCUCAACAAGGAUGGAAACAGGCUAUGCUCGAUGAAAUGAACAUGAUUCACAAGAACCAGACCUAGGAGCUAGUUAAUAGACUAGUCAAUAGGAAAAUUAUUGGAGUGAAAUUGGUGUUUUGAGUGAAGCACAAUGCUGAUUGAACUCUGAACAAGCUAAAAGCAAGACUGGUAGUGAAGGGAUUCAGUCAAAAGUAUGGUAUUGACUACUUUGAAACAUUUGCACGAGUAGCCAGACUUGACACAAUCAGGCUGCUGGUUGCUUUGGCUACACAAAAGCAAUGGAAAAUACAUCAGCUCGAUGUAAAGUUAGCUUUUCUCAAUAGUUUCCUUGAAGAAGAGAUUUAUAUCGAGCAACCUGAAGGUUUCAAAGUUGUUGGUGAAGAGGACAAAGUGUACAAACUGAAGAAAGCCUUGUAUGGCUUAAAACAUGCACCAAGAGCCUAGUAUGAUAGAAUCGAUAGCUACCUGGCUAGCUUGGGGUUCGAGGGAAGCAUCAGUGAGCCAACCUUGUAUGUGAAGAAGAAAGGUAUUGAAACACAGCUUGUAGUGUCCCUGUAUGUCGAUGACCUACUUGUAAUAGGUCAAAGUCAUGAAUUGCUGGUUGAUUUGAAAGGCAAAAUAGAGAAAAAGUUUAAGAUGUCUAAUUUAGGAUAAAUGUGCUACUUCUUUAGCAUUGAAGUGUCUCAAACUCAAUCAGGGAUCUUCCUAAGUCAGAAGGCAUUUGCCUUGAAGAUUCUGAACAAAUUCUCCAUGCUAAACUGUAAGGCAACAAGCACUCCAGUUGUUGUUGGAGAGAAGCUGUCAAGCCAAGAUAAUUUCGAAAAGGUUUGUAAAUCAACCUACAGAAGCUUGAUUAGAUGCCUGCUCUAUUUGACUGCCACCAGACCAGACAUUAUGUUUGAUGUAAGUCUGAUAUCUAGAUUCAUGCAUUGCUGUAAUGUGAAGCACUUCCAAGCUGCCAAAAGAGUUCUCAGGUACAUUAAAGGUACACUGAGCUUUGGAAUGAUGUUCACCAAGGCUGAAAGGAUGAAGCUGCUUAGAUAUGCAGAUAGUGAUUGGGCUGGAUCGAUAGAUGACAUGAAAAGCACCUCAGGGUAUCUGUUUACCCUUGGUUCAGUUAUUUUUUGUUGGAGUUUAAAGAAGCAAACAGUAGUUGCUUAGUCAAUAGCUGAGGCAGAGUAUGUAGUAGCUAGUAAUGUUGUUAACCAAGCCAUUUGGCUAAGAAAGAUCAUGACUGACUUGAAUCUACACCAAAGGAAAGCAACAGAGAUCAACUGUGACAACCAGUCUACUGUUGUAAUUCCAAAGAAUCCAGUGUUCCAUGGAAGAACAAAGCACUUCAAGGUUAAGUUUCAUUUUAUUAGGGAAAUAGAAUAAGCUAAUAAGGUGAAACUGAUUCAUUGCAGUUCUCAGGAUCAACUUGCUGACAUUCUGACAAAGCCCCUUAGUAUAUCAAGGUUCGAGCAAUUGAGAAUGAGAUUGGGAGUUUGCAGCAUGCAAGCCAAGGAGGAGUGUUGAAGCUGGCCAGCAUGCUAACAUGUAGCAACAGAAAGUACCCGAGCCAUGCAUGUUGCAGCUGAAGAUGGUGCUGCUGUUUUAGCUUAGUUUUGUUACUUUGAUCAACAUUUUGUAACUUAGUUUGAUUUGAACAAAGUUGUCAUUGCACUUGAUGAAUUUUUUGUCAAUGUUUGAGCUGAAAAAAUAGCUUUACUAAGUGUGCAAGUUAUGUUUUAUUAGUUCUAAGGUUACUUAGUGAUAGUAGGUGAUGUUUAGGUAAUCAAAUUGUUUUCCUUGACCAGCUCAUGUCUGGUAUAUGUAUUGGCAUUAUGCCAUUGUUUCAGUUAAUGAAAAUUCCUCUAAGAAUUGUUCAUUCAAUACUCUCUCAAUCUUAGUUUCAUUUGGUUCUUAAAUGCUUAAUUCUGUUAUUGUUUGUUCUGCAAGUCUCGAGCCUUAAAGCUCAAGAAACUGUUUUGUUUCCUUUAUCUAUGUUCAUUGUUCCAACAAUUUAUUUAUACUUUAAACUUCAACUUUGUUUUUAAAUAUAUCUUACUUAUUACUAUAUGGAUUUUAUUAUAUUCAAUUUUGACAAGGUGUAGCACUAGUAUGUAUAUAUAGACCAGACACACUCAUGUUGAUCAAAUCAAAAGAAAAUGUGAAAUAAGUUGUGCAGAUAUAUAUUGAAUACCAAACUUACCUUAUUGCUGAAAAAAGUUGCAGUGUUAUCAUAGAUGCCCCCUUUGCCAACCACGUUUUCACUUGCAUCACCACUCUCUCUUGAAACUGAGGAAGAAAAUGCAGUCAUUUUUGGACACUCAGCUAUUGUGAUAUUCCUCAGCAGUGGAAAUUCAAGAGCUUGACUUCCCAAAUGGAAAUUUGUCAAGUUGGAACACGACUUAAUUGUUACGGAGAGUAGCGAAAGAAAAGUAAAUUUAUGUGUCAUGGCUUCCUCCUCCUCCCUAACUACUUGUUCCAUUGAACUGCAUUCUUCCACUUCUAUCCUUCGUAGUAGAUUGAGGCUCAAAAGCAUAGACGGAGUAAAUAUGUACUUCAAGCUGCUACAUUUAUAAAACUGCAGGUUGCUAAGGUUUUUGAUGCCCAAAAUUUCUUGAGGGUUUCUUGUCCAUAUUUCUAUCGACUCCGGAAAUGUGUCAGAGAUGUUGAAAUCAUAGAGUCCAUCCUAAAAACUAAUCUGAUAUUAUUCCACUAGAUAGCAAUCAUAAAUAGAAAAUGCAGACAAUAACAAAAUAACGAUUAACAAUCUUCAAUGGUUAUUGAAGUAGUAAUAAAAUGAAUUGUAUUAGGACACGAGGAAUCUAGCUAGCAUUAUGAACUUAUUAACUUUGUACCUUUUCUGUGUUGAGCUGUUGUAUGGUGGUAUUAAUGUCACUUGUCCAACUCCAUUUCUCACCGUAAUGCGACUGUUUUAUUCUCUGUAAUUGUGGGGUGCUUAAAACUCCCUCAGAAAAGAUCUUUAACCAAGGACAAUGUUCCACAACUAAUUCUUCCAAACAAGGAAACUCGAAGUUGUAAUACCAUGGACAAAAGCUUGUGAGGCUCUUCAAAUUGCAUAGUUGUAAACAUUUCAAUUUACUAACAACUAUUGUCUGAUGACAGUCUCCCUCGUUUCCCACUAUUUCUGUCAUUUUAGUGCAGUAUUCUACCUUUAUUGUCGUUAAUUGCACAAGAUUCUUAAGUACUGAGGGUGUAACUAAGUUUGUCAUCAUUUUACAAAGUGACACAUUCAAAAUUGUGAGAUUUUGUAAAGAUGAUGAGAAGACUCUAAUGUUUAUCCAAUCAUCACAAUUGUGAAUUGUGAGUGUUUGAAGAUCAGAAAGAAUAUGGUCAAGCUCCAAAUCUUUCCUCCAAAUACGCUUAAGAUUUCUGGCAGAAACCAAUUUCAGAUUUCUAAUUGAUGGGAGAGUCCCGACGUCUCCUUUACAAGGGACUACAUGUUUGAAAUCAAAAUUAGAAACCUCAAGUCUUUUCAGAUUGUAGAAUCUUCGGACGAAAGGAAAUAAAGAAAAUGGAGAGCCACCACUCACUGCAAAAACUUUAAUAUGUUGAAACAAGUCUGGUGGAAAUUGGUCCAUAUCACCAAAAUUUCGUAACUCAAGUUCCUCUAAUUUGGGAAUGACCUUGGAAACCAAUUAAAUAUAUACAAGUUAGGCUCAAUGUUGAUGUAUAUGCUUUAAAAAAACAAACAAACAAAAAAAAAAGAUUUACAAUUUUAGUGUUUGAUUUUGAUGAUUAAAUCCCAACAAAAUCAAUAUUAAAUCAAAUGAAUCCAGAGUAGAUGAAUUUUUUGUUUUAAGAAAACACAAUACCUUGAGAAUAAAAACUGAUAAAAAUUACACAACAUGAAAGCUGAAAGAAGAGUAGCAAAUCUAGAUUAAAACAGAUAAACAACCAUUGUUAUAUAUAUAUAUAUAUUUCUAUAAUAAAAAAAUAUAAGCAGAACAGUGUAGAUAAAAACACCAAAGUUUUAAAAUAUUACACUGACUUAAUUUGAUGGUUAAAUUAAUGAAUUUAAUAAAAAAAUACCUAAUUGAUAUAACCUCAAUAGUUUAAGGAUGUAAUUAGAAUGUUUUAAAUUUUGGGACUAAUUUAAAAUGAAGGUCAUAGUUUGAGAUGUCUAGGGUAAUUAACUUUUAAAAUUUUGACUUUUUAUUGAGUGGCCAUUUUUUUUAGCAAACUAAACGUUCUAUUUAGUUUUGACCCACAUAUAUAGUCACUUAAGUGUUAAAAUAUUUUCAUUUUGGUCACUUAAAAACAACUAAAAUUUCAAUUUAAUCACUGUUGCUAGAGAAAUUAAAUAUCUUAAUUGCUAGGCUGCAAAGUCCCUAACAGGAUGCUAAUGUAGCAUUUUUUUUUUUGCAUAAUAAUAAAUUUAAACCUCAAUAUUUAUACAUUUUAUCAAAUUGAACUACAUUCUAAAAAAUCAAGAUUAACACUCAAUAUUUACCUCUUAUAUUUAUUAAGUCUUGUUUUUAAAAAUUGAAAAAAUAAUUAUAAAUGUAACAAAAAAAUUAAAAUAUACAUAUUAAAAAUUCAAAAAUAUGAAAAAAAAAACUUCAAAUCAAACAAAAUAUAAUAAUUAGAAAUGCAUUAUCGUGGCAUAUUUCGACUUGAGAUGCUUGUCGCAGUGGUUUAAAUCAUAAAAAGAAAUAUAGUUGUAAUGAUAUACAUACCUCUUCAACCAACAAAACUGGCUGCUCAUUUCGUUGGAUUAAUCUAAGAUGUUCCGAUGCCACUAUCUUUAGCAAAGCAGAACUAUCUGUUGUCAAUUUUUUCAACAUCGGCCAGACUAUUGUAUGUUGCCCUUCAUAGAAACAUUUGAGCUUAUCUACCCCACUAACCUCAAGGUAAGACACUUGCGGAAACUCAAACCUCACAGGCUGCUCCUCCACUCCAUCCCCUUUCGAUACAAUCUCCUCAACUCCACAAUCAAUGAUGCGUAACUGUUCAAGUUGUGGAAGAUCUUUGGCUAUUGAUACUGGAAAUAGAUUUUUCAAACUCCCACAUCCCCAAACACUUAUUUUUUGUAGAUUUUUAAAGGAAUCUGGUGCUAGGUCAUUAUAAAAUAUCAUCUUCACAUUACUCAAGUUAGAGAUAUUCAUGUCUUCCAAGCUUGGAACUGCAAUCUAUUCAUAUAUAUAUAUAUAUAAUCCAUGCCCAUAAUAAGGUUAGCUCAAAUAAUGAAGGCAGAAAAAAAAAAAGGACAAAUCAACAGAUUUAUGCACGAGUGUAAGACUAAAGAAAUAAAUCACCUUCUCACUGAAGAGAGCGUGCAUGCCGGACUGAUUACUAUUCUGACUAAUGAAUUCUAUUAACUUGGGGCAACGCUGAAUCUUUAGCACUUUCAACAAUGGGAACUCAAUAUUGUGGUUUCCUGAGUUGAAGAAGAUGAGGUUUGGAAGACCCACUAUAUGCAGGGAGUUUAAUCGAGGGAAACAAAUCACAUCUUUCCUUUCUUCUUCAAUUUCCUCUGUAAGUAUUAUGUCCCUUAAGCACUUGCAAUCCUCUAUCUGAAAGUAUUGGAGCUGCACCAGACUUCUAGCGAGAGAGGGUGAUAACAGAUGCUCCAACUUGCCGCAUCCUUUGAUGAUCAACCUCCUCAAAUUCGUAAUCCAAUGACAUGUCUGGUUUUCGAUUGAGGGAAAAUAAAUUACACAUAUUUACACACAAUUCUUUUAAAAUAAAGGUAGUAUGUAACAUAAUUUGAAAAUAUGAUUUUCAAUUUUAAAGAUAAUUUUAGUUCGAUUUGUGGGCUCAAAUUUCAUUUUAAGAAUUAAAAAAAAUUGUGAGGUUUAAAUUUAGAUUAUUGAAUUGAUUUUGUACUUUCAAUCGAUGUGGAUUAAAAAUUAAAUUUUCAUUUGUUUUGGAUUUGAAAUUUAUUUUUGAGCUCCGAAAAAACCAUUACACAAUAUUAUUUAUUUCUAUUAUUAGAAGUAUUAAUGGGCAUAUAAAUAAAAGUUGUAUAAGAAAAUAUAAAUAGAGCCAAACAAAUACCUGUUUAUUGAAAAGUAGUAAGGGCUUAAUGGAACACCUUUCGUCUGGAGAGCAAAAGCUAACGAGUUGCGGUAGAUUUUCAAGUUUGAUGAAGCAUAAUUCAGAAAAUCCAAUUUUGUUUGUUUUGAUAUAUUGGACAUGCCUACCAUUUUUGACAUGAAGUCUCUUUAAAUUUGGAAGAUCUUUCCCAUUAUUUAACUCCACAAGUACAUUCUUGACGCCUUCAAGUCCCUCUAGGCUCAAAUCUUCUGUUUUUAUCAACAACAUUUUCAUCCCAUUGUCCAAAUCAAUGUUUGUAUAUAACAUGAGCUUCAAUGUUUUCGGGGAUUCAUAAUUAUGGAAACAAUUAUAUGCUCCAUAAUUACCUACGAAAAUCUUGAAUCUGUCCAAUGUUUCAACAAACCGGUGUUUUGGUAUCAUUUGGACAUCAAGAAUAUGAACAUAUAAAGUAAUUAGACAAGGCAAAUUGUUUAAUUCAUCAAGGCUUGCAUUUUUCCUCUCAUUUUCAACUAUUCCUCCCUUCUCCCAUUCAACAAAGCUCCCCCUCAUAUAUAAUUCUUCUAAUUUAGACAAACCUGAUAAGAUAUUCGGUGGGAUGAUUUUGAGUUCUCUACACCAACGCAAAUCUAACAACCUUAAUUGAGUCAAUUGUGCCAUCUCCUUAGGUAGUCCUUUGAUACCUGACUUAGAAAGGUCGAGGAUUUCUAAAUUCUUGAGCUCUCCAAGGAUAGUGAUGUCAUCAACUGCACAUUCUUUUAGACACAACAUGCGAAGGUCCGUGAGGUGAAUAAUUGAUUCAGGUAGGGAUGGAAACUCCAUUCCGAACAAAUCUAAGACUUUGAGGCCUUCGGUUUGUUUGAAAAAAUUGGGAGGAAUUUUAACCGCGCCAUCAUAGGCCUUACGGAAAAAGGAAAGUCCUGAACACUCCAUCUCCUUAGGAAGGUUAGCUAUAAUCUGAGGACAACGUAAGCUGAUCACAUUCCACGUCUUCAUUUUCUCCUUAUCGGACCACUCCUUUGGAGCAUGAUCUCUCAAAACAAGCAUACGGUAGUCCUUCAAUGCGAUAGCUAUAGCAGCAUCCCAAACAACAUCAUGGAUAUCAAAGCGCUUAUCAUUAUAACUAUCAAGCAACAAGGCAGACGCUUUGAGAUUAGCCACAACCGUCAAUACUUUAUUUCUAGCUUCUUCCAUAGUGUGGACACCAUCAAAUAAACCCAAACCUAGAGUAUAUCUUACCAAGUCCUCAACGAGACCAUUAUGGCCUAUUACACUGCAAAGCAAGAAAGUCAGCUUAACUUCCUCGCUUUCUAAAUAAUUAAAACUCCACUCUAUAGCUGAAUAUGCCGCAGCUAUCCCCAUGAAGUUGCUUGACGAAGGCCUCUCCAGUUCUCGUAAAGCAUUCUUCCAUUCAAACAAUCUUUUGUUUCUCAAAGCCCCUGCAACUGUCGCAAUGGCUAUCGGCAGUCCUGCACAUUUGUUGGCUACCUCCAUAGCUAUAGACUUCAAAUCGCAACUUUCAUCACAGUCGCCAGCCUUCUUCUUGAACAGGUCCCAGGCUUCCUUUUCAUUUAAAAACCCAAUGGGAAAAUUUUUCUGAGCAUCCAUCCCAUUUGAUAAAACAUUGAGCUCUCUAGAAGUUAAUAGUAAUUUGCAGCCCUUGUGUUCAUCUCCCAAAGGAAUCCCUACU